UUCUGCAUUGCCUCAUUGAGAUGUAACCUAUACUUUGUCAUAUAGGUAUUCAGCUCCUUUAACUCCACCUUUAGGGUCUUCAACUUAUUCCAUAUUCUGUGCAUUUGCCCUCCCUACUGAUGCUGAUUCCAUGCUCUUUCCACAAUGCCAGGGAAUUCAGUAUGGUCCAUAACAUGUGAAUAAAGUUUGAAUUUAGGAUGCUUGUUCCUUCUCUGUUCCUCAGGGGUACACUGCAAUAGGAUAGGGGAAUGAUCUGAAACUCCCCGGAUCAACACAUCAGCUUCAAUGUGACUGUACUCCUGCAUCCAGUGUACAUUUCCAAAGACCC
rnacentral:lncRNA from 1 species